rnacentral:lncRNA from 1 species
CUCAAUAGGAUGUCGUCCUCUGUCCGAUUUGCGUACACUAUAUGCAUCUCCGUCCGAUCUUUUGGGUCCCGCAACACAGCCUGCGCCACCUGGUAUAUCGGCGUGAUCCCGGUCCCACCCGCCAGCAUGGCAAGCUUCUUUGCGAAUUUGGGCUUGCCGUGAACAGUAAAUUUCCCUCGGCCCAUGUACUCUAUGUGGCCCAACGGACCUUUGACCUCCACCGUCGACCCCACCUCGAGCUUGUCGAGAUAUUGCGACAUGACCCCACCGUUAGGAAACUUGGGAUGCACCCCACCAAAAUAGACCUUCACCACGAGGUCGAAAUGGCCCACAGCAUCGACCAACGUUGUCGGAGUGUAGGCCCUCAUGCAUAGCUUCCCGUGCACGGUAGCACACAAGAAUAUGUGCUUUCCGACGGGAAGCCCCAUCUGCUGGUCCUCGAACGGGAGCGCGAAUCGGAACAACCGAACGUCAUGAGACAACGACUCCUUCUUGAUCAGCUUGCACGGGAUUUUCUCGCGCGGGACCAAUGCCACACUACGAUGUUGUUGAAUCAUCGUCGUCUCAAUAAUGGGAGCCAACUGAGAGAAGGGAGCCAAAUUAGAGGCACCAUGGUUAGAGCUAUUGGGGGAAGAGGCGUUCGAAGGGACGUUUACAAGCUCCCCGAUGCGGUAGUCCUCGAGGAGCUUUCGUGCCUUGUCGGAAUGGAUAGCCUCGAACUCUUCGGUGCAGUCAGUGCCGGCAUUGAUGAGGAUGCUGUCGGCCCCACCGGGGUGGUCCUUGAGGAAGUGAGUGCAGUCGUAGACAUGGCCGUGGACGAUGAUCCACGCCGAUUCGGGGGAGUUGUGCUUCUUAACGUCGGCGGGUGAAAAUGUCUUGGAUGAAGUGUUCAUAAAGGGAGUGGAGACACUCUUCUUUAGUGUCGGGUUGGCCUCCGAGGUGAUCAUCUCGAGAUGCUUCUCCUUAGCCAUCCAUCCGCCCGAUUUGUUGCCCGGAACCGUCGGAUGCUCGAACACGAUCCCGAUCUCGCCCUUGUGCCGCUUGCACACGUUGGUUUUGAUCCUGAACCAACAGUUGUUCAUCAUGCCCUGCAUCAGGAGAAUAAAUAAAUUUAAUAUACAUGCAGUACUAUGUACGUAAGUCCUUUUAGCUAGGUAGAGGAACAUUAUUUAUUUUUAGACUUGUUACGUCACUAGAUGAAUCAAAUCCUAAACUAAUUAUUCCUAGUUGACCUUUAAGAUAAUUAAUUUUCUAUUGCAAGUACAUAUAUAAAUUAUUUACUCAACAUGGUAUGACAAGUUGACAACAUAAACCUAGCCAGAUGCUACUAGGACCGUGUAUCGUGGAAACGGUGAAUUUUAAAUUACUGUAAACGAUAUAAUAAACAAAAUUUUAGUUUUAUCCAUUUUAAAUAAAAUUUUAUCAAUUUAGAACUUUUUUCGUCGUAACAUGCUAGCCAAUAGGGUUAUGAAUUCAGAAAAAUGCAGCCUCCUCCAUGUAUAACCUAUGAAUAGAUUGAAUGCAAAGACCAUCCAGGCGGUCGAAGAAGGUUAGGACCGAUCAUCUACGACUGUGAUUAUCCAAAGACAAUUAGGACUGUUAAUCACGUUUUGAUUAAGUAGCUAUGGUUCAUUCACUAGACUUAGAUUUCUGUCUACUCUCUAGUGCUAAAGGACACAGAGGUACCGUCUUAUAGAGCAAAUCCUGUUCAAGUAAGGUCGUGAACAAACGAUGUGUGUGGCUAGAGGAACAUGUGAGCUUAGAGGCACACAAUUCCACACUCUGCGGGCUGCGAUUUUUUAUUACAAAUACAAGUAAUUUGGGAUAAUAACAAUAUAAUAUUGACAUCAGCAGUGUCCCUUUCGUUUCCCCAAUAGCCACACCACACUUGCAACGUACAGAAACUACAAUUACAAACAAACACCUCUUUGCCAACUUGCCCCUGCCUCCUUUCAAUGAUAUAUAUCAUAUGUUAUCAAAUAAAUUAUUCAAUUGGUUGGCAGAAAAGCGGUUUUGUCUGGUUUUCAUUUGGAGCCACCUAGGUUAGGUUGCAACUAAUAUAUUAAAAAAUAAUCAGAAGCCAAAGAGUUAGGAAGAUAUUAAUCAAAAACUGACACGUGGAGCAACGUGAGAGGGGGGAAAUACACACCAUGAUAUUCCAGAUGAGCUUCUCGGGUUGAGUGUUGAGGGUCUGGUCCCAUGCUCGAACGGCGAUCUCUUUCGCGGCCAACAGGUCCAACACUUCGACCUCUAGCGACCAGAAGCACCAGCACCAAUACUUCCCGUACUUGUUCGGCUUCUCUUGAUGGUCGACCUCGCAAAGCUGCCACGUGUCACCUCUGUCCAUCGUGACUUCCACACGUGUCACCUUCUUCCCACCCCCUAUAUGUAUGAAAAUGACAAAUAUACGUAAAGUUGGCAAGCUGUACGCCAGCCUUGCGGCUAACUAUGAAUUUGUGCUGCUCUUUUUUAGCUAGGUGGACAGAGACAUCGCAAAAAUUAAUGUUUUCUUUAAUUCGUUGAAGCCCGUGAUUCGCCAGAAUCUCUCCACUUGAUCCCCUUCUCCCAGCAUAAUAAAAUAAAAUAAAAUAAAAUAAAAAGAUUCCUGCUGGCUGCUAGUUAGUCAUUUUUUUCAUAAAUUAGUAAUAAUUAAUUACCUGAAUAUGCGUAUCCUUUCAACGUGUACGGCCUUUGAGUUGUCCAGGAGUUGAUCGGCAACACCUCUUCGUGAGACGGCGUCGUAAUCACCGAGUUUAUGUUCAGCUCGUUUAUUAUGUACUCCGGCUUGUACCACCAACCUGAUAUUCAAACAUUAAUAUAUUAAUACUAAACAAUAUUAAAUUAAUUGAUUUAUUGUAUGAUAAAAAUACAAGACCAUCUUCAUCCCUCAAUUUUAACCAUUACAAAAGUGAGAUUGAAAGUGAUGUAACAUUUCAUUAGUAAUUAUUAAAAAUAUAGAUGUGUUUUCUAAAUUAACAAGAUUGUUUACUAGUUCAAAAUGUUAAUUAGUAAUACUAUAUAAAAAAUUGGUUAAUAUUUUUAAUAAUGUAUUUAUAAAUAAAAAUAAAUUAAAAAUACAAAAUCAUUAAUGAUUUUGCAUUGAUUUAUUUUCAAUAUAUUUCUUAAUUUGUAAAAAUGAUAAAUGCUGGGAUGUAGAUUGUAAAAAGUUAUUGAAAGAAUUAAUUAUUGAAAUUAUUUAUAUGACAUUAUGAACAUAAUUAAAAAUUAUUAAAUAAUUUCUAAUCUAAUCCUAAUUUAAUGUAUAAUUUUUAAAUUUUAUUUUAUUACGUUAUUUCUAGUUCUAGUUAAUGAAUAAAUAAAUAAAUAAAAUUAGGAAGAGAGACAAUUUUUGACAAACCUUCGGAGUUGGCGAGCUCGGCAUCGACAUGAGAAGGAAGCACUCGAUUAUCCUUAAAAUGGUAAUAAUUCUCCGACUCCUUGGUAGUAACGACGAUCCUCUUCAACCAUUUCACCAUCCGCCCCCCGAUAAACCCUGGU